rnacentral:rRNA from 1 species
UAAAGAAUUUCGGUAUGGGAUGGGGAUGCGUUCCAUUAGUUAGUUGGCGGGGUAACGGCCCACCAAGACAACGAUGGAUAGGGGUUCUGAGAGGAAGGUCCCCCACAUUGGAACUGAGACACGGUCCAAACUCCUACGGGAGGCAGCAGUGAGGAAUAUUGGUCAAUGGACGAGAGUCUGAACCAGCCAAGUAGCGUGAAGGAUGACUGCCCUAUGGGUUGUAAACUUCUUUUAUAUGGGAAUAAAAUGUUCCACGUGUGGGAUUUUGUAUGUACCAUAUGAAUAAGGAUCGGCUAACUCCGUGCCAGCAGCCGCGGUAAUACGGAGGAUCCGAGCGUUAUCCGGAUUUAUUGGGUUUAAAGGGAGCGUAGGUGGAUUGUUAAGUCAGUUGUGAAAGUUUGCGGCUCAACCGUAAAAUUGCAGUUGAAACUGGCAGUCUUGAGUACAGUAGAGGUGGGCGGAAUUCGUGGUGUAGCGGUGAAAUGCUUAGAUAUCACGAAGAACUCCGAUUGCGAAGGCAGCUCACUGGACUGCAACUGACACUGAGGCUCGAAAGUGUGGGUAUCAAACAGGAUUAGAUACCCUGGUAGUCCACACAGUAAACGAUGAAU